AGUAACACGUAUGCAACCUGCCUGCCACAGCCGGAUAAUCGGGAGAAAUUCCGUCUAAUACGGCAUAAUGCAUCGACGGGACAUCCUGUUGGUGCCAAAGGUUGAUUCCGGUGGCGGAUGGGCAUGCGUCGCAUUAGUUAGUUGGCGGUGUAACGGACCACCAAGACGACGAUGCGUAGGGGUUCUGAGAGGAAGGUCCCCCACACUGGUACUGAGACACGGACCAGACUCCUACGGAAGGCAGCAG
rnacentral:rRNA from 1 species